rnacentral:lncRNA from 1 species
CUGGGCUCCCUGGAGAGGCAGCACCAAGUGCCAUUUGGCUGUUCCUGGCCUGUGCUUUCCUGAAAUCUGCUCAGAGUGGAUGAGAAUCCAUCAGCAGCGUGUUUGGGAGGAAUCGGGCAAGGCCUAUUCUUGACAAGGCUGGCUGCUUCUGCGGGCUGCCUCCUGGAACCCAGCUGCCAUUCUGCGAGGCAGCCCAAGCAGCCACAUGGAGAAGCCCAAGAUUUUUCUUCACGUGUUGGCUGCCCAGCUGAACUCAGCUGACAGCCAGCUCCAACUUGCCAGCCGUGUGAGUGAAUCAUCUUGAAGAUGCAUCUUCCAGCUCCCGCCGAUCUGUCCCGGCGGAUGCCACAUGGAGCAGAGGUGACCAUCCCCACCAAGCCCUGCCCAGCUCCAAAAUCGCGAGCAAAUGAAUAAUGGUUGUUCUUCAAAGGCACCGACUUUGGGGACGAUUUAUUCUGCAGCCAAAGAUAACCCAGGCAGCACUGUACAACAAGAAAGCUGUGACCCCGUGUCCUAUCUUUUAGCUAUUUUUAAUUCUUCCACAGCUUGAGAUGUUUCCCAAAAUGCCUCACGAUCUUCUGGUGCCACCUUUUACAACUUGUUCUACUGACUACCGUGUCCUAGCUCUUUGCCCUGGGGAAAGUUCUGGCCACGGGUCCCCUUUUGGGGCAGGGUUUCCUCAAGAGUGCCCUGUGGAACAGAAGACCCCCAUGACGCUCUCGAGCUGCCAAUGAGCACUUGAAAUGUGGCUAGACUGAACCGAGAGGUGCUGGAGGCAUAUAGAACACGGCAGAUGUUAAAGCUUUCGUACUAGUCUUCAAAAAAGAAUGCAAAAUAUCUCAAUAAUUUUGUAUUGAUUAUGUGUUGACUUGAUAAUAUUUGGAAGUAUUAUGUUAAAGUAUAUUAUCAAAAUUAUUUUCACCUCUUUUUACUUAUUUUUUUUUUAAUGUGUCCACUAAAAGUUUUAAAAUGACAUAUGUGGCUCCCGUGAGGUUUUGGUCAGAUAGCACUGCUCUAGAGAAAGAUUCUGGGUCAAAGGUAUAGUCUGGGAAAUGCUACUUAGCUACCCCUUCCUGGAGAAUUAUAGAACACGCACAUUCAAGGCUCUGAGAAGUCCUGCAGUAAAGAAAACUUUAACCCUG